UGCGUCGAUACUAAUCAGUGGGUGGCAGAAUUGGAGCCCUGAAUACAUGGACCAAAUAUCCAAAAAACUCGAUGGAACACCUCUGUGUUUGUCUCUAUCGUAGAAAAUUUUGUAAAAUCUAUCAUGAUCCCCUCGUUGGCAUAAUAAACUGUAGCUAAUCAAAGAUCCAAUGUGUUAUAGAACUUUAUCCAAUCUCCAAACAGCUCAUCCAUAACAAGUUGUUUAGCUAUCCACAUCUUUCUGUAAGAUACCUCGCACUGCCAUGCAUCAUGUAUAUAAGCCUGAUAGGCUGAUAUGGAUAUGGAUAUCUCUAUCCUAACUGAUCUUUCAAUGAUAUCGAUAAUCAUGCAUGCAUCAAGCUGUUGGUGAUCUCGCAUCACAUCUGUAUUCAAGCAUGUAUAUGAUCCUUUAUAUAUCGUAAUCUUCUAUCACUGCAUCUUGAUCCGAAAGAAUGCACGAAGAUGCCAACUGUAAGUAUCAGACUGUUUACACAUGAUACUCUAUUUAAUCCUAUCUGACUCGAUGACUUUGAAAAGAUGGUGGGUGUGAAUGGCAUAUUGUUUCAUGACAUGUUGGACAUGUUCUUUUGACUUGAAUACCAUUCUCUUUCUUAACUCUUCAUUUCCAUCAAAAAAUGGAUGCUUUGAUAAUGCUAUAUGGGAUGCGGCCUCAUCAUCGUCGAAUGCAUUAACUAGUCUGAAUUCAAGAACAAGAGGUACCUCAUAUGGUGGGACAGCCUCUUCUGUACUAAAAUCUCCACUAUCACUGCCAUCAGAUUUUGUAUCAUCAUCAUCAUCUUCGUCAUCAGUAGGAUUAGGAUCAUAACUAACAGCGGCUUCAUUUCAAAUAAAAUUAUAUUGAUCGUUGCGGUUCCCAAUCCUUUAAGUCUAGCAUAUGUUGCAUGUGGCUGAUUAAGUGGUACAGAGUUGUAAGGUUCGUGCUCCAUAUGCUCUAUGGUAGCUAUCACAUAAGUAGGAUCGACCUUCGUAUCAUCAAAUAUGGUGUUAUAUGAAUAUUGAUAUACAGACUCUGUACCUAUCAUAUACUGAGGAUCAUCAGUUAC
rnacentral:lncRNA from 1 species